AACACAUGCAAGUCGAGGGGCAGCAUGGUCUUAGCUUGCUAAGGCCGAUGGCGACCGGCGCACGGGUGAGUAACACGUAUCCAACCUGCCGUCUACUCUUGGACAGCCUUCUGAAAGGAAGAUUAAUACAAGAUGGCAUCAUGAGUCCGCAUGUUCACAUGAUUAAAGGUAUUCCGGUAGACGAUGGGGAUGCGUUCCAUUAGAUAGUAGGCGGGGUAACGGCCCACCUAGUCUUCGAUGGAUAGGGGUUCUGAGAGGAAGGUCCCCCACAUUGGAACUGAGACACGGUCCAAACUCCUACGGGAGGCAGCAGUGAGGAAUAUUGGUCAAUGGGCGAGAGCCUGAACCAGCCAAGUAGCGUGAAGGAUGACUGCCCUAUGGGUUGUAAACUUCUUUUAUAAAGGAAUAAAGUCGGGUAUGCAUACCCGUUUGCAUGUACUUUAUGAAUAAGGAUCGGCUAACUCCGUGCCAGCAGCCGCGGUAAUACGGAGGAUCCGAGCGUUAUCCGGAUUUAUUGGGUUUAAAGGGAGCGUAGAUGGAUGUUUAAGUCAGUUGUGAAAGUUUGCGGCUCAACCGUAAAAUUGCAGUUGAUACUGGAUAUCUUGAGUGCAGUUGAGGCAGGCGGAAUUCGUGGUGUAGCGGUGAAAUGCUUAGAUAUCACGAAGAACUCCGAUUGCGAAGGCAGCCUGCUAAGCUGCAACUGACAUUGAGGCUCGAAAGUGUGGGUAUCAAACAGGAUUAGAUACCCUGGUAGUCCACACGGUAAACGAUGAAUACUCGCUGUUUGCGAUAUACAGCAAGCGGCCAAGCGAAAGCGUUAAGUAUUCCACCUGGGGAGUACGCCGGCAACGGUGAAACUCAAAGGAAUUGACGGGGGCCCGCACAAGCGGAGGAACAUGUGGUUUAAUUCGAUGAUACGCGAGGAACCUUACCCGGGCUUAAAUUGCAGAUGAAUUACGGUGAAAGCCGUAAGCCGCAAGGCAUCUGUGAAGGUGCUGCAUGGUUGUCGUCAGCUCGUGCCGUGAGGUGUCGGCUUAAGUGCCAUAACGAGCGCAACCCUUGUUGUCAGUUACUAAUAGGUUCCGCUGAGGACUCUGACAAGACUGCCAUCGUAAGAUGUGAGGAAGGUGGGGAUGACGUCAAAUCAGCACGGCCCUUACGUCCGGGGCUACACACGUGUUACAAUGGGGGGUACAGAGGGCCGCUACCACGCGAGUGGAUGCCAAUCCCCAAAACCUCUCUCAGUUCGGACUGGAGUCUGCAACCCGACUCCACGAAGCUGGAUUCGCUAGUAAUCGCGCAUCAGCCACGGCGCGGUGAAUACGUUCCCGGGCCUUGUACACACCGCCCGUCAAGCCAUGGGAGCCGGGGGUACCUGAAGUGCGUAACCGCGAGGAGCGCCCUAGGGUAAAACUGGUGACUGGGGCUAAGUAGU
rnacentral:rRNA from 1 species